GAUGAAGAACGAGCGAAAUGCGAUAAGUAAUGUGAAUUGCAGAAUUCAGUGAAUCAUCGAAUCUUUGAACGCACAUUGCGCCCUCUGGUAUUCCGGGGGGCAUGCCUGUUCGAGCGUCAUUAUAACCACUCAAGCUCUCGCUUGGUAUUGGGGUUCGCGGUUCCGCGGCCCCUAAGAUCAGUGGCGGUGCCUGUCGGCUCUACGCGUAGUAAUACUCCUCGCGAUUGAGUCCGGUAGGUCUACUUGCCAGCAACCCCCAAUUUUUACAGGUUGACCUCGGAUCAGGUAGGGAUACCCGCUGAACUUAAGCAUAUCAAUAAGCGGAGGA
rnacentral:misc_RNA from 1 species